rnacentral:Y_RNA from 1 species
GGCUGGUCUGAGUGCAGUGGUGUUUACGACUCACUGAUCACAACCAGUUACAGAUUUUUGUUCCUUCUCCACUCCCACUGCUUCAAUUGACUAGCCUCUA